rnacentral:rRNA from 1 species
UCCUACGGGAGGCAGCAGUAGGGAAUCUUCCGCAAUGGACGAAAGUCUGACGGAGCAACGCCGCGUGAGUGAUGAAGGUUUUCGGAUCGUAAAACUCUGUUGUUAGGGAAGAACAAGUUGGGUAGUAACUGACCCAACCUUGACGGUACCUAACCAGAAAGCCACGGCUAACUACGUGCCAGCAGCCGCGGUAAUACGUAGGUGGCAAGCGUUGUCCGGAAUUAUUGGGCGUAAAGCGCUCGCAGGCGGUCUUUUAAGUCUGAUGUGAAAGCCCACGGCUUAACCGUGGAGGGUCAUUGGAAACUGGAGGACUUGAGUACAGAAGAGGAGAGUGGAAUUCCACGUGUAGCGGUGAAAUGCGUAGAGAUGUGGAGGAACACCAGUGGCGAAGGCGACUCUCUGGUCUGUAACUGACGCUGAGGAGCGAAAGCGUGGGUAGCGAACAGGAUUAGAUACCCUGGUAGUCCACGCCCUAAACGAUGCUUACUCGAUGUGUGGUUCGUAGAAUUGCGCAUCCAAGCGAAAGCGUUAAGUAAGCCACCUGGGGAGUACGUCGGCAACGAUGAAACUCAAAGGAA